GACGAACGCUGGCGGCGUGCUUAACACAUGCAAGUCGAACGGAAAGGCCCUGCUUUUGUGGGGUGCUCGAGUGGCGAACGGGUGAGUAACACGUGAGUAACCUGCCCUUGACUUUGGGAUAACUUCAGGAAACUGGGGCUAAUACCGGAUAGCAGCUCCUGCUGCAUGGUGGGGGUUGGAACGUUUCGGCGUUUGGGGAUGGACUGGCGGCUUAUCAGCUUGUUGGUGGGGUAGUGGCUUACCAAGGCUUUGAAGGGUAGCCGGCCUGAGAGGUUGACCGGGCACAUUGGGACUGAGAUACGGCCCAGACUCCUACGGGAGGCAGCAGUGGGGAAUAUUGCACAAUGGGCGGAAGCCUGAUGCGGCAACGCCGCGUGCGGGAAGACGGCCUUCGGGUUGUGAACCGCUGUCGCCUGUGACGAAGCGUGAGUGACGGUAAUGGGUAAAGAAGCACCGGCUAACUACGUG
rnacentral:rRNA from 1 species